UACGGGGGGGGCAAGCGUUGUUCGGAAUUACUGGGCGUAAAGGGCUCGUAGGUGGCCAACUAAGUCAGACGUGAAAUCCCUCGGCUUAACCGGGGAACUGCGUCUGAUACUGGAUGGCUUGAGUUUGGGAGAGGGAUGCGGAAUUCCAGGUGUAGCGGUGAAAUGCGUAGAUAUCUGGAGGAACACCGGUGGCGAAGGCGGCAUCCUGGACCGAUAUUGACGCUGAUGCGCGAAAGCCAGGGGAGCAAACGGG
rnacentral:rRNA from 1 species